rnacentral:tRNA from 1 species
AAUGUUGUGCCGGAAUAACGGAUCAUGUUGAUGUCAUGAAAUAUGAGGGGGUCUCCUCCAGCAUUA